UCUAACAUCCUGUUGUGGUCUAGCAAUAA
rnacentral:piRNA from 1 species